UUUAAAAUUUUAAAAAAAAAAGAAAUAGAAAUGCCGGUAGCAUAUUUGAAACAGUCUUUGGCAAUAAGUGUAAUCUUAUUACACUUCUACUUAUCUUUAUCUUAUCUAUCUACUUAUUAUCUUCUACUACUACUGACAGGGACAAACCCUAGUUGGCUUCUCAAAGAAGAUGAGAUUGGAUGCUUUCAGGUGGUUUCUGUGGCUGCAGAUGCUUGUGCCUCAGCCCAGCUGCUCAGCCCAACAGCAUCAUGCUGUGCGCUGCCCCAGUACCUCAUCCACAGACACCUGUCAUGUUCCAAGUUCAGCUGAGCGGUGCUGGAAAUGACAACUUUUCUCUACAUCUCUUCUUCCAUUAAUAGAAUGGGAACAUUCAAUAAAAAGAACCUGAGGUAAGGGCAAGAACAAGCACAGUGCUCCACGCAAGAAAGGUAACGCCAUCACCACGUGGGAAAACACAAACGUUUUACAUCUUUACUGGGGAGUUGUUACAUCCGCAGAACCAUUUUUCCAAAUUUUCGAGCCAAGAUUUAUGCAUUCCAGUGCGUUCAAAGCUUAUCUCCAGCAAAACUGAUUCUGUUGAUACAUCCUGCAGCUUUCCUCAACCAGGUCCAGUCUACUGAGAGGCCCAUCGAAGGCACUCUUCAUUUCCACUGCGAUGUGGGCUUUUGUGAGUUGCUUUUAUCUCUAGCAUUUUUUUGGGGGGGGUUCUUUCUUAAGAUUUCCAUCUCUGCAUUACUGCUGCCCAUCUGUUCUUGCGGGCUGUUUUCUUUAUCCGUUAGAGGCCUUAGCAUUUUAAUCAUGGUUGUUUUCAAUUCCCAGUCUGUUUUCAAUUCAACGGACCCUGUCCUGUCUGGUUCUGAUGCUUCUCUGUCUCUUCAAAUUCUGUUUUUGCCUUUUGGGACGCCUUGUCAUUUUUUUCUUGGUGGCUGGACAUGGGGUUCCCGGGGAAGAAAGGAACUGCUGUAAAUAGGCCUUUAGUGAUAUGGUGAGUGGGGGGGAGCAGGGCUGUACUCUCCAAUGAUGAGGUCUGUCUUUAGUGAAUUUCAGGAGUGUUUCUCAGCUGUUUUCGCCCCCCUCGGGUGGGACAGGUUGGCUAGAGUGGGCUGGGGUUGGGUAUUCCCUUCCCCAGUCAGCUAGGCUCUGCUAAUGCCCCAGUAGGUUAGGCUCUGGUUAACUAGUCUCCCCUGAGGGCGGGCCUUAAGAAAAACAGAGUGCUCAACCCUAUUUCAGGAAGUACCUUGCCCCGCCCCCUGCUGGAAGCCUCUGGAUAUUUUCCUCUGAUACUAGGAGAACCUAGAAGGAGGUAUAUUUCACAAUAUGGUGGGUGAUGAAAUUUGAAGUGGGGUUCGUGAGCUAAGAAAGAAUUCUCGAGACUACUUUAGUGCAAAAAGGUGAUUUUAUUAAAGCACGGGGACAGGACCGUAGGCAGAAAGAGUUGCACUGGGGUUGUGAGGAAUGACUGAUUAUAUACUUUUAAGUUUGUGGAGGGAGGGGAGGGACGUAUAGAUAACAGAGGUCUCCAAGGAGUUUUUGGAUGCUGAAAGCAGGGUCUCCCAGGACCCUGAAGAUUUAGCUAUUGUCAAGGUAAGGUUGCUUUUAGUUUUUAAGGAAGUGUCAACAUUAAGCAUUAAGGCAGCCAUGAACGUCUUGGGGAGUAUUACACUGACAUCUGUCAAUGGGCUGCAGGCUGUAAGGGCAUUUAAUUUAAAUGACAUUUUUCAUGCCUUUGUUUCCCUCAUCAGUGGGGGUCCCCCUGGAGUUAACUCUCAGAGUUUUGGGCACUGAGCCUCCAGUGAGCGUUCAGAUUUCUCUGCCCCAGCACUGGUUUCUACCCUAAACUUCUUUCUGCUCUAGUAAGAUAAGACAUCCUAUAUCUGCCAACUGGUCUCUUCAGUCUGGGGGCAGACCCCACCUGUGCCCCACCCCCACCCCCACUUGUGGAUCCAAGAAGACUGGCUGCUUUUUCAGUCUCUUCAGCUUUUACUUAUCAGGACAGAGGGAGACUUCUGGGCUUAUAUGCAAAACCGGAAACUAGAAGUGUUCUUACAAACUUAUUUACAGGGGCCUGGGUGGCUCAGUUGGUUUAGCCUCUGACUCGUGGUUUUGGCUCAGGUCAUGAUC